rnacentral:lncRNA from 1 species
AUAUUUUUUUUUCAAAAAUGGUUUUUGCUAAACUUCAUCAUGACUUUGAAAAUGUGAAAACAGAUUCAUAUUUUAUAAGAGAUUUACAAAGCAAAACAGAUGUAAGAGCUGCUAUAUGUUGGCAUUGCAGCAGCAGUAAAUUGAAGGGACAACAUCAGCCUGCAGUAGAUGAACGUCCAUGUUUUGAGAUUAUGUCAUCAUGA